rnacentral:lncRNA from 14 species
CCCCGCCCCGCGCGGGCGGUAUCCCGGAGCCCGUCCCCCGCCGGUGGGGUGUAUGACCGUGGUGGGGUGGGGAGAGGGUGGCGGCCGGGCGCUGGUGCGACAGCCGGAGUGGAGGGCGCUGGGCACUGACUUGGCAUGUGGGAUUCGUGUCUGCUGGAGCUUCUUGAGCUGGAGCAGGGUCCCAGGCCUCUGCCCUUGACUCUUCUGGCACAUUUCUAAGAUACCAUCAGGGUUAUCCUCUGUGUCUUCCUCACCAGCUCACUCCAGUACUGACAGCAAGACAGUUUGUUAAAUACAGCACUUGGGGAAAUACUUUCUGUGAAGAGGAUUCUUGGAGAGCUGCUUGUUAGAAGGCUGUAUUUCUCUUUAACUGGCAGUUGUUGUCAUCUGAUGUUUUAAAUAGCAUCCAGGCCAGCCAGCUCCAGCACACUAUUGGCAUUUAUUUGCUGUGUCAUGUCAGCUUUUAGCAGUAGUAAAGACCUUUAGAAAACAUUUGUCAAACUCUUAUCUCCUCUCAACAUAACAUAUUUUUGGGGUGAAAUUUCUUUUAAUUUCAUUUAACUUUAUGGUCAAAUUUGUCUUUUCACCAGUUUGUAAAAAGCAACUGGUGAAUGUUGGAUAUAUAUGAUAAAAAUAAUAAAUAAAACCCUUACAGUUAAUUAUAACA